GGGUGCGUGGUGUAGCCCGGUUAACACGGUCCGAUGUACAUCGGACAGAUCGAGAGUUCGAAUCCCUUCGCACACA
rnacentral:tRNA from 1 species